rnacentral:lncRNA from 10 species
AGGUCACCAGUUCCCUUGCUGGCUUCGACUGAAUGAUUCCCCUGUGAAGUCCCUUGUUUACUGUAUUUGUAAUUAGCCACCAAGAACUUGAGUAACCGGUUUCCGAGGAGAACAUAUAUCCUGAAUCAGUUCCUGGACAUUUGUUUGAGGUCUUGUAAGGGAAACUGAAGGGAAUUGUGUAUUGAACAGGAUGGCUUAGACCUGCUCAACUUCUGAGAAUUGAGGAACUGCUUGGCUUCCCAGCAAUGAUUCCACAGAACGUGUAGAAGUAGGAGCAAGUUCCACGAGGUGUACUUCAUGGCCUCCUUGCUGCCUGGCACCACCCCAAAGUUGCUGAUAUGGGACAGAAAUGACCUCUAUGGAAGGUUGGCCUUGCCUACACACACAUCUUCCCUCCCAUAAUAUCAACUAGUGAACCAGUGUGCAGCACCAGGAGUCAGCCUGGCUGGACUGAAAGCCCACCUCUGCCAUUUAGAGGCUGUGUGACUUCGAGCAAGUUACAUAAACACUGUCUUAGUUUCCUCAUCUGUAAAAUCAUGGGGAAGGUAAUAAUAAAUGUAAAAGUUGUCACAUAAUUAAGUAACACGUGGUAAGCUUUAGAAGACUGUGACUAAUGCAUAAGCCCUCAAAAUAUGUCUGUGAUUAAUAUGUGCAGGCUUUACAGAAUAUUCCCUCUAAAAGUUGCAAUAUCCUACACAUUGGUAGCAUGAAGAAGCUUAUAUUCUCUUAGUAAAUUCCAGAUGCCGUUUUCCAAAAUAUACAAGAAUCUUGGUAAAAUCCGAAUGUCAUUUUCAAGUAAAAUAUUUGUUACUCUCUUCUUAAAACAUUUAUUAUCUUUUGGAAUUUGAUAAUGAAGAUAAGUAAAAUAAAUUGUUCUCUGUAUUACCUAACCCAGUAGUAGUAGAAACAACUUAAUAAUUGUCAUUAUAUAAGUUACAUAUACAAAGUUUUGGUGCAAAACUUUAAAAAAGCCAUCCUUUAUAUAUAUUACUUCUCAUCAUAUCACCCAAAAUUUCAAUCAUAAUACUUUCAAGUAUUUUCCUACAAUGUAGAAGAAUAGUAUUCAAAGAGUUUGUAAUUUAAUUGCAUGGAAAAGGUAUGUAUGACUGAAAGUUAACUAUUAAUACUGACAACGGUUCAACAGAUGUUAGAUUUCAAGAGAUAUUUAGUGAGCAUCUAUCUGCAAGGCACAAUUUAUAGUAACUAUGGAGACACAAAGCUGAGAAAAUAAACAAGAGAAUCUGUGCUCCAAGGACUCACAGUCUGGUGAAGUAUACAGGCAUGUAAACAAAUACUUCUAAUUUCAAGAGAGACCCUGGCCAAUGCUAAAACAAAAGC